GCCGUGGGCGGGGCCUGUGAUUGGACGAUAGAAGCUGAACUUUGUCACUUGAGUCAGUUAUUAUUCAGAGUUUGUGCAGCUGCUGACACCAAACUGAUCCCAGAGACUCUCGGCGGGAGACCGUCAGGAUGUUGUGACUCCUCAGAGUUUCCAAACAUCGUGCUCCGUUCAGCGUCUUCCUCCAUCAGAACCUCCACCACCCACCGCCGCCACAGCGCCCCCCGCAGCCAUGGAGAGCAUCCCGAGGAGGUGGGUGCUGAAGCCUCUGUCCCCCCUGCUGCAACUCUCAGAUCUGCGCACCAUCGCUGGCCCCGCUCAGACCGACGCCUCUGCCCUGGACGAUCCAGUCUUCACCUCCGACAGCAUCUCUGUCGCCCGCAGUCAUUCAUCGGUGGUCGUCUCCUCGCAGCAGGGCAACGGGUCCGGGGACGUGGUGGUUCAGGCCCGGCAGGUCGCGGUGUCGCAGGACAGAGGGAGCACCAGCGACGAGUGGAAUCCCAGCAGCCCCAGCAGUCCCAGCAGCAGCUCGAGCUCUCACUGCGGUUUCUACUCCUUCGUGGAAGAUCCGACGAGUCAGGAGGCGGAGCUGAACGAAGCCUGGAUGGUGUCGCCGCAGCGUCAGACGCAGCUGUCGACCCUGAAGGAGGAGAAAGGAUUCAGACUGCAGACGUACGCCAGCAGCAGGAAGCCAGAGAGUCUGUUUGCAGACGGAAAUGGAGAUGCGCAGUACAGAGUGGAUCAGAGCGAUGGCGUUGAGGUGGUCCGGGAGGAAGAGGAGCAGCAGCUGAGGAAGGAGAUCAUUCGCAGCCAAGCACCAAAGAAGAACCUGACAUUCAAAGAUCAGCUGAGUGCUCUGGAGAAUGUGGAUCUGAGCCGGUCCCCCAACAAGCUGAUGGAAGGUUUCAGUGUGAGCUUCAGUCCUGUCACCUCCAGACCGCGACCUCCGAGCCCGGCUGCGCCCGGGACCAUUGACGACGAACAGAUCAACUUCAGCACCGCCCGACAGCAGUUCCUGAAGAUGGAGCAGGACAGGUUGACUGCAGUCCCCAGUCCUCUGAGAUCCUCCAUAACACACCUGAACACGUCUCUGCAGACAGAUCCUGAUGCAUCCUUAUCGAAGCAGGUGGAGUCAUCAUACCACGGCGUGGAGACAUACAGCGGGGUGGAGACAAGUGAAGCUCCAACAGCGGUCAAACCAACAGAAGACGAGGCGUUCCCUGAGAGGAAGGUGACGGUGUGUCAGACUGAGAAGCCUCUCAGCCGGCAGAGCAGCGUGUUCGAUGACCUGGACUCCGGCCUGGAGGAGCUGUCUGUGGAGGUGGGCGGCGGCUACACCAGCGACGAAGGUGUGUUCAAUGACAACACUCAGCAACAGGACAGGAGCAGUGUGUCCAAGAGUGACUAUGAGACGCCGAUUGAGAGGGAGAUCCGCUUAAAUCAGGAACGUGAGGAGAACCUGCGACGCUCUCGAGGGCUGAAGCUCAGCGACAGCAGAGCAGAGAUGGUUGAGAUCAAAACCAAACGCUUACAGACGCCGCCGCCGCUGACACUCAUCAAAUCCAAAGAGAAGAACAGAGUGAGCUUCAUUAUCCAGCGCGAGAUCCAGAAGGAGAAUGAGAGGAGGAAGGAGCCUCAUCAGGAGGGAGGACACAGUCCAGAUCCUCCGCAGGACCCGGAGGACAUAAAGAUGGAGUCUGUCCAGCAGGACGAGGACGAGAGGACAGAGGCCAGAGUUCAGUCUGGAGACACAGACGUCUUCCUGUCUCCCUGCUGUCCUCAUCGACACUCCGAAGAGACUGAGCGCUACAUCAGCCAGAUGAGUUUAGCUCCACCUUCCUUUUCUGUGAGGGACUCAGAUGUCCAGUACACAAGAGGCCUCCGCCAAGAUCUAACAACUUCUUCAUCCUUCCGCGCCUCCUCCUCCUCCUCCUCUUCCUCUUCCCCAACGCCUCGACGUGAUAUAACCUGGACCACGCCGCGGUCUUGGAGGGAGAACCUGGAGUCCACGGGCCUGCAGUCCAGAGGGACAGGCGCUCCUGAUUUCAUCGAGAAGGAGAUCGAGGAGGCGUUGAGACGGGAGCAGGAGCUGAAGGAGCUGAGGGAGUCCAGAGAGGAGACGGACGGACGGCUCCUUUCUCCGGCUCCUCUGGUGGAGCAGGCGAACAAGAUGGCCAUCAGUCAGUUCUACCCACCUGUAAACGCAGCGUGGGUUUCCUCCAGGUGCUCUGACAUGUUCUCCCCGUGUCAGCGUGGGUUUCCUCCUGGUGCUCCGACACAUUCUCCCCGUGUCAGCGUGGGUUUUGUCCGGGCGCUCCGACAUGUUCUCCCUGUGUCAGCGUGGGUUUCCUCCAGGUGCUCCGACAUGUUCUCCCCGUGUCAGCCUGGGUUUCCUCCAGGUGCUCUGACAUGUUCUCCCUGUGUCAGUGUGGGUUUCCUCCAGACAAACCUGUCAGUGUGUCCUCCCCCUCUCCUCGUCCCUUUGUCCGUCUGUCCUCCUUCUCCUUCAUCACGGCUCAGCCCUGGUCCUACUCACCUCCUCCCUCCUCCUCCCCUGCGGCGCACUGCUCGGCGCCUCCUCCUGUCAGAGGACUGACGGACACACUGCUGCAGGACUUUGAGGAGAGACGAGUCAAACUGAAGCUGGAGGAGAGCGCAUACGCAGGAAUUCAGCCGGUUGAUGACGUGAAUAACGAGGUAUGUGAAUGUUCCACAUGGUAACCAUGAACAGCGUUGUGUUUGGCUGUGUCCACUCAGGCUGACGUAAACUACAUCGCACAUAAAAUAACUGGACAUCUCAUUCGAUGCCAACUUUAAGGUUAGCUGUUGUGGCCCUGCUCUGUGACAAAUAUAUGACGUCAGCUAUACGAUCCUCGUCACCGAAAACCACCGACCUGUUGUUCUGACAGCGGGUAAGCUCUGACCUGGAGGGAUGACAUGACCUAGAGGGAUGACAUCACUUAGAGCAAAAGAUUUGUUUGGUCGAAUACAUUUCUGUCUGAAGACUUUUUCCCCUGAACAAAUGACGUAAAGCAACAUGCAAACAUUCAGGAAACCAACUAUUCAGAUUCAGAUUCAGAUUCAGAAUACUUUAUUAAUCCCUGGGGGGAAAUUGUUUUGUUCCAA